rnacentral:rRNA from 1 species
AUGAACGCUAGCGGCAGGCUUAACACAUGCAAGUCGAGGGGCAGCACGGGUAGCAAUACCUGGUGGCGACCGGCGCAAGGGUGCGUAACGCGUGAGCAACAUGCCCUAUACAGGGGGAUAAUCCAGGGAAACUUGGUCUAAUAUCCCAUAGUAUUUAGAGGUGGCAUCACCACUAAAUUAAAGCUUCGGUGGUAUAGGAUUGGCUCGCGUGACAUUAGCUUGAUGGUGGGGUAACGGCUCACCAUGGCGAUGAUGUCUAGGGGUUCUGAGAGGAAGACCCCCCACACUGGGACUGAGACACGGCCCAGACUCCUACGGGAGGCAGCAGUGAGGAAUAUUGGACAAUGGAUGGAAAUCUGAUCCAGCCAUGCCGCGUGCAGGAAGACGGCCCUAUGGGUUGUAAACUGCUUUUAUAUGGGAGCAAUAAGGUUUACGCGUAGACCGAUGAGAGUACCAUAUGAAUAAGCAUCGGCUAACUCCGUG